rnacentral:tRNA from 1 species
UUUCUGGAGGACUAGUGGUUAGGCCACAGUGCUCUCACUGCUGCAGCCCGGGUUUGAUUCCCGGCCAGGGAA